GCGAGAGUAACUCAGCUGGUAGAGUACCACGUUGCCAAUGUGGUUGUCGCGGGUUCGAACCCCGUCUCUCGCU
rnacentral:tRNA from 1 species